AGCUUUUGGAAGGUGAUUGAAUAACGAAGGCACUGUACUCAUCAAAGAGUUCAUCCACUAUAAGUUCAGUAGCUGAGGGGGCUGUCAGGUGGUGAGGCCUGAUUAGAGGGCAGAAAAGACUGAAGUUCUGAGUGAAGACCUUCUUCAGGUGGAGAAGCGCCUGGAGCUGGUAAAGCAAGUGUCU